GCCCUCAGAUGCCACCUUUGGAUGCUAACAAGAUUGUUUGGGUUUCAUCUAGUGUGGCUCAGGGGGGGUCAUUGAAUUCUGCUUCCCAGCUGAUGUGUCUGGAUGAGGCUCAGUGGAGGGAGCAGCAAUGAGCUGCAUUCCUCAGCACAGACCAUGCUGAAAUCACCUUUCUGCCCCUGCCUUCGUUCCAGUUAGUGCCAGCAAGGUUGGGUUUGGUCCUGAGGCUCUAAUCUGCUGUAGAGAGAAGCAACUCUUCAGCUGCUGCUUGUGCUCCUCAUCAACUUGCUGGGGCCAGCAGAGGGGCACGGAGCAAGUUACAGCCCUGCAGAGAGCAGGAAGAGCUUCGUGCAGAGAAGAGCCUAUUUCUAAGGGCUGGCUCUGCUGCUGCUGUUGCAGGCAGAACACAAGACAAGCAACUGCUGUGGGUCAGACUUGAGGUCCAGUUAAACCCAGGACAGCAGCUCUGCAAGUGGCCAAGAGCAAAUGUCUGGAAGAAAAGAGCAACAUGGGGCAGGUAUAGAAACAGAAGAAGUUUGGGGUUGGUUUGGGUUUUUUUUUUUCACUCUCUUAAAUAAAUAAAUAAAGUUUCAGUUGAAAUAGUUCAGUGGAAAGAGUCUCAGCUGGAAAGGAGGAAGCCAGCAAGAAGAAAAAGGAAGCACCACAGAGCUCUCUUCAAGGCAGACUGCUCCUGAAGGAGCUGUGAACGACCUGCUUCAGUCUCUCCUGAGGAGAAAAAGGGAAGAUGAAGUGAUGCAAGCAGCCUGGUGGCUAAC